UCCCCAGCUGCCACCAAGGUGCUCGGUUCUUCCGAGGGAGCUAAGGCCGUGUUGGGGUGAGGCCCUCACUUCAUCCGGCGACUAGCACCGCGCCCCGCAGCUCCAUUCCGCACUCGCAGCACCGUGUCCUCCAUGUCCGAGCUCGCCUGCAUCUACUCGGCCCUUAUCCUGCACGACGACGAGGUGACCGUCACGGAGGAUAAGAUCAACGCCCUCGUUAAGGCCGCCGGGGUGACCGUGGAACCUUUCUGGCUUAGCUUGUUUGCAAAGGCCCUGGCUAACGUCAACAUUGGGAGCCUCAUCUGCUUUGUGGGGGCUGGCGGGCCUGCACCUGCAGCUGGCGCUGCCCCAGCUGGGGGUCCUGUUCCCACUGCUGCUGCUGCUCCAGCUGAGGAGAAGAAAGUGGAAGCAAAGAAGGAAGAGUCUGAGGAGUCUGAUGAUGACAUGGGCUUUGGUCUGUUUGACUACCCCUUUUAUAGUGUGUUCAAUCAACAGCUGAACUCGGCAAAAAAAAAAACAACCAAAAAUCUGUAUCAAAGAAAUUGA